rnacentral:rRNA from 1 species
AUUGAACGCUGGCGGCAGGCCUAACACAUGCAAGUCGAACGAGUGGCGGACGGGUGAGUAAUGUCUGGGAAACUGCCUGAUGGAGGGGGAUCACUACUGGAAACGGUAGCUAAUCCCGCAUACCAUCAGAUGUGCCCAGAUGGGCUUAGCUAGUUGGUGGGGUAACGGCUCACCAAGGCGACGAUCCCUAGCUGGGCUGAGAGGAUGACCAGCCAGACGGGAACUGAGACACGGUCCAGACGCCUACGGGAGGCAGCAGUGGGGAAUAUUGCACAAUGUGCGCAAGCCGGAUACAGCCAUGCCGCGUGUAUGAAGAAGGGCUUGGGGGUGUAAAGGACUUUCAGCGGGGAGGCGUUAGCCGCAGAAGAAGCACCGGCUAACUCCGUGCCAGCAGCCGCGGUAAUUC